CUAUUUCUGUGACAGAAAAUGAAGUCCCAUUAUGUCAAAACUGUAGAACACAUGGAGCCUUCUGCAGAAGCUUGACGUGUUAUCUGCCAAAAAGAUAUUAAGCAAACCAAAUUCAUCUGGUGUUUUCUAUAAAUGACUCACUAUUAUUGUCUAGCAUCCUAUUGUACCAGAUACCUGAAAGACUUGGAGAGGUUGUGAGGCGAUGACAGGAAGAUGUUUCCUCCAGACAGCGUCUACCUAAGAGAUUCAGCUGCACUCGGAUACGCUUGCGGCGAGCUCCCUGAAGAGUUUCCCUGUGCUUGGAGGAAGAAGUAACGUCAGUAAAUCAAAAUUUACACCCUGUUGACCUUGGAAAUACAAAGGCAACACAAUAAACCAACAUGAGGUCAUGUUUCCAUUCUGGUUGAGGACAGGGGAACAUUUAAUCCUGAGCAGAGUGAGGGAGACAGGAGGAAAUAAAAUGCAUGCUGACUGAGACGGUACUGUUUUCUCUUGCAGUUUGCUCUGCAAGAUCCAGUUGGGAAAGGAAGAAGCAUUUAUUUCUCUUGCUUUCCACACAUACCUUUGAAGUGUCUUAGCAUCAAAAGAAACACCCAGCCUGAAACUAUAUUUUCUUUACUCAAAACGUGUGGUGUAAGUGAGAAUGGGUAUGAGAGGGGGGAGGUGCAGGGGGAGCUUUGUGGGCACAAAGAAAUAGUCAAGAUAAAAAUCAUGAUAAAAAUCAUAAUUUCCAAGACUUAAGACAGAUGCCUCUGAUUGGGGAGAGUUAUUUAUGUUGGUUAUAGGUUCCUAAAGGGC
rnacentral:lncRNA from 1 species